rnacentral:rRNA from 2 species
UGGGGAAUCUUCCGCAAUGGGCGAAAGCCUGACGGAGCAACGCCGCGUGGGUGAAGAAGGCCUUCGGGUUGUAAAGCCCUGUCUUAUGGGAAGAAGAAAGUGACGGUACCAUAGGAGGAAGCCACGGCUAACUACGUGCCAGCAGCCGCGGUAAUACGUAGGUGGCAAGCGUUGUCCGGAAUCACUGGGCGUAAAGGGCGCGUAGGCGGUUUUUUAAGUCGGGUGUGAAAUCUUUGGGCUUAACCUGAAGUUUGCAUUCGAUACUGGGGGACUUGAGUGCAGGAGAGGGCAGUGGAAUUCCUAGUGUAGCGGUGAAAUGCGUAGAUAUUAGGAGGAACACCAGUGGCGAAGGCGGCUGCCUGGACUGUAACUGACGCUGAGGCGCGAAAGCGUGGGGAGCAAACAGG